UGAACGUUUUGAGGGCUCUUGAGAUCUGCAGCACAGAACGGGAAGGAGAAAGGAGAGUCUGGAGAAAAGAUAGGUUCCACAUGACCCGGUUCCAUCUUGUCCAAAAGAAUUCUACCGAUCUGUUAGACAGCAGUUUCCUCCUAGAUCACGCCCUUCAUUUGGGAGGAAAACUCAUUGAGACGUGGGAUGCCAAGGGAAAGUGAAACAAUGGGGUAUCUUAGGACUCGGUGUUUACAAGGAGGUGAAACGACAAGACAUUCCAAAGGAAGAGAAACACUAUUACACAGAAGCCCCAUUAAGACAGGAAAUAAAUGGCUCAAAAUAGCUUCCAGGAGUUCCUGAAACUGACCAG
rnacentral:lncRNA from 1 species